CGGUAAUACGGAGGAUGCAAGCGUUAUCCGGAAUCAUUGGGUUUAAAGGGUCCGUAGGCGGUUUAAUAAGUCAGUGGUGAAAAUCCAUCGCUUAACGAUGGAACGGCCAUUGAUACUGUUGAACUUGAGUUAUUAGGAAGUAACUAGAAUAUGUAGUGUAGCGAUAAAAUGCUUAGAGAUUACAUGGAAUACCAAUUGCGAAGGCAGGUUACUACUAAUAUAUUGACGCUGAUGGACGAAAGCGUAGGAAGCGAACAGGAUUAGAUACCCUGGUAGUCCACGCCGUAAACGAUGGAUACUAGCUGCUCGGAAUAAUCUGAGUAGCUAAGCGAAGGUGAUAAGUAUCCCACCUGGGGAGUACGUUCGCAAGAAUGAA
rnacentral:rRNA from 1 species